rnacentral:rRNA from 1 species
AUUGAACGCUGGCGGCAGGCCUAACACAUGCAAGUCGAACGAGUGGCGGACGGGUGAGUAAUGUCUGGGACACUGCCCGAUGGAGGGGGUUAACUACUGGAAACGGUAGCUAAUACCGCAUACCAUCGGAUGUGCCCAGAUGGGAUUAGCUAGUAGGUGGGGUAACGGCUCACCUAGGCGACGAUCCCUAGCUGGUCUGAGAGGAGGACCGGCCACACUGGAACUGAGACACGGUCCAGACUCCUACGGGAGGCAGCAGUGGGGAAUAUUGCGCAAUGGGCGCAAGCCUGAUGCAGCCAUGCCGCGUGUGUGAAGAAGGCCUUCGGGUUGUAAAGUACUUUCAGCGAGGAGGCGUUACUCGCAGAAGAAGCACCGGCUAACUACGUGCCAGCAGCCGCGGUAAUAC